UCCGGCGCAUUAACUACGCGAUUCCAGCGGUUCGAUAAUUUAGGAUGAGAACUCCCCUCGGCUCCUCCUGGGAAUUUCAUCCAAAACUGUCUGACUCGAGUAUGGCAGACGGUGGGGGAAUUUCCUGUGUACCCGUGAAAUGCGUAGAUAUAAGAAGGAACACCAACGGCGAAGGCUACCAACUGGGCUAAUACUGACACUGAGGUGCCACAGCGUGGGGACCACCCAAGAUUGCAUACCCUGAUAGUCCACGCCUGCGCUAUGUCGACUACCCGUUGGGAUCCUUGAGAUCUUAGUGGCGCAGCUCCAUGUUACAUUGUCGCCUGGGGAGUACGGCCCCAAUGUUUCUACUGGAAUGACUCUGCAUGUGCCCGCCUGGCGGGUUAUCAUGUGUGCUUUUCUAAACCCCCCUGAUCACCUUAUUGUGCCUUGCCCUGCCAUUCUUUCCAGAUAUGGAUUGGUGCCUUACUCACCUCGGACACGACUUUGCAUGGCUGCUGCUCCACUCAUGAUCUUGAGAUGUCGCAGCUGAGUACUCGUACAUCAUCGCAUGGCCUUGUACUAACAUGGCAUCAGAUCCAGGUGGCGCCCUCUAACUGUCACAGCCGCGUGACUAACCA
rnacentral:rRNA from 1 species